rnacentral:rRNA from 1 species
UACGGUAGGGCGCAAGCGUUAUCCGGAAUUAUUGGGCGUAAAGAGCUCGUAGGCGGUUUGUCGCGUCGGGAGUGAAAACCCAGGGCUUAACUCUGGGCUUGGCUUUCGAUACGGGCAGACUAGAGGUAUGGCAGGGGAGAACGGAAUUCCGUGGUGUAGCGGUGAAAUGCGGCAGAAUAUCAGGAGGAACACCGGUGGCGAAG